rnacentral:rRNA from 1 species
UACGCAGGGGGCUAGCGUUGUUCGGAAUCACUGGGCGUAAAGCGCACGUAGGCGGACUUUUAAGUCAGGGGUGAAAGCCUGAGGCUCAACCUCAGAACUGCCCUUGAUACUGGGAGUCUUGAGUAUGGUAGAGGUUGGUGGAACAGCAAGUGUAGAGGUGAAAUUCGUAGAUAUUUGCUAGAACACCAGUGGCGAAGGCGGCCAACUGGACCAUAACUGACGCUGAGGUGCGAAAGCGUGGGGAGCAAACAGG